rnacentral:rRNA from 1 species
GACGAACCGUGCGAACGUUGUUCGGAAUCACUGGGCUUAAAGGGCGCGUAGGCGGGUUGCCAAGUCCGGGGUGAAAGCCCCCAGCUCAACUGGGGAAGUGCCUUGGAUACUGGUGAUCUCGAGGGAGGUAGGGGCAUGCGGAACUUCCGGUGGAGCGGUGAAAUGCGUAGAUAUCGGAAGGAACGCCGGUGGCGAAAGCGGCGUGCUGGACCUCUUCUGACGCUGAGGCGCGAAAGCUAGGGGAGCAAACGGG